rnacentral:rRNA from 1 species
AUUGAACGCUGGCGGCGGGCCUAACACAUGCAAGUCGAACGGUAGCACAGAGGAGCUUGCUCCUUGGGUGACGAGUGGCGGACGGGUGAGUAAUGUCUGGGAAACUGCCCGAUGGAGGGGGAUAACUACUGGAAACGGUAGCUAAUACCGCAUAACGUCUUCGGACCAAAGUGGGGGACCUUCGGGCCUCACACCAUCGGAUGUGCCCAGAUGGGAUUAGCUAGUAGGUGGGGUAAUGGCUCACCUAGGCGACGAUCCCUAGCUGGUCUGAGAGGAUGACCAGCCACACUGGAACUGAGACACGGUCCAGACUCCUACGGGAGGCAGCAGUGGGGAAUAUUGCACAAUGGGCGCAAGCCUGAUGCAGCCAUGCCGCGUGUAUGAAGAAGGCCUUCGGGUUGUAAAGUACUUUCAGCGGGGAGGAAGGCGUUAAGGUUAAUAACCUUGGCGAUUGACGUUACCCGCAGAAGAAGCACCGGCUAACUCCGUGCCAGCCGCCGCGGUAA